CAACUACUUCCUCUGUCCCAAAUUUCUUGUCUUAGAUUUGUCUAGAUACGGAUGUAUCUAAUACUAAAAUGUGACUUGAUACAUCCGUACCUAGACAAAUCUAAGACAAGAAUUUUGGGAUGGAGGGAGUACUUU
rnacentral:pre_miRNA from 1 species